CAGGGGUCCGCAGUGCGCCGCCAGAACUUGGAAGGCGUUCUGCCAGGCUUUGGGGGCGACGGCCAGCCUUUUCUCAGGGUACCACCCGCAGACAAAUGGCCAGACAGAACGGGCUAACCAGGAUCUGGGAGCAGCACUACGCUGUGUGACGGCGAAACACCCGGCGUCCUGGUCCACACACCUCCCCUGGAUCGAGAGACCGACGUGGCAGUGGCUACCGUCAAGGAACAUCUUCGACGCGCUCGUCGGGUUUGGCGCGAGGCCCGGGCAGCCCUCAUCCGGACCUCUGCCCGGAACCAACGUAUCGCCGACAGUCAGCGUACACCGGCUCCAGAUUACCGUCGAGGGCAAAGGGUUUGUUGAGAUGCUACGGUCCGUCCUCUGAAAGUGGCGUCCAUGGAGAUCAUAGCCAGAGCAUUAAGGCGAUCCUGUGUAUGUUCCUCAGUAAGGAAUGGCGCCUGUCAAUACCAGCCUGAAGAGAAC
ensembl:lncRNA